rnacentral:rRNA from 1 species
GACGAACGCUGGCGGCGUGCUUAACACAUGCAAGUCGAACGGAAAGGCCCUGCUUUUGUGGGGUGCUCGAGUGGCGAACGCGUGCGUAACACGUGAGUAACCUGCCCUUGACUUUGGUAUAACUUCAGGAAACUGGGGCUAAUACCGGAUAGGAGCUCCUGCUGCAUUGUGGGGGUUGGAAAGUUUCGGCUGUUGGGGAUGGACUCGCGGCUUAUCAGCUUGUUGGUGGGGUAGUGGCUUACCAAGGCUUUGACGGGUAGCCGGCCUGAGAGGGUGACCGGCCACAAGAGGACUGAGAGACGGACCAGACUCGUACGGGAGGCAGCAGGGGGGAAUAUUGCACAAUGGGAGGAAGCCUGAGGAAGAAACGCCGCGUGCGGGAUGACGGUCUGCGGGUUGAAAACAGCUGUAGCCUGUGACGAAGCGGGAGUGACGGUAAUGGGUAAAGAAGCACCGGCUAACUACGUG